rnacentral:rRNA from 1 species
UUCGCCCUUAGAGUUUGAUCCUGGCUCAGGAUGAACGCUGGCGGCGUGCCUAACACAUGCAAGUCGAACGAAGCACUUUAUUUGAUUUUCUUCGGAGAUGAAGAUUUGGUGACUGAGUGGCGGACGGGUGAGUAACGCGUGGGUAACCUGCCUCAUACAGGGGGAUAACAGUUGGAAACGACUGCUAAUACCGCAUAAGCGCACAGUACCGCAUGGUACGGUGUGAAAAACUCCGGUGGUAUGAGAUGGACCCGCGUCUGAUUAGCCAGUUGGCGGGGUAACGGCCCACCAAAGCGACGAUCAGUAGCCGACCUGAGAGGGUGACCGGCCACAUUGGGACUGAGACACGGCCCAAACUCCUACGGGAGGCAGCAGUGGGGAAUAUUGCACAAUGGGGGAAACCCUGAUGCAGCGACGCCGCGUGAGCGAAGAAGUAUUUCGGUAUGUAAAGCUCUAUCAGCAGGGAAGAAAAAAUGACGGUACCUGACUAAGAAGCACCGGCUAAAUACGUGCCAGCAGCCGCGGUAAUACGUAUGGUGCAAGCGUUAUCCGGAUUUACUGGGUGUAAAGGGCGUGUAGGCGGGGACGCAAGUCAGAUGUGAAAACCACGGGCUCAACCUGUGGCCUGCAUUUGAAACUGUGUUUCUUGAGUACUGGAGAGGCAGACGGAAUUCCUAGUGUAGCGGUGAAAUGCGUAGAUAUUAGGAGGAACACCAGUGGCGAAGGCGGUCUGCUGGACAGCAACUGACGCUGAGGCGCGAAAGCGUGGGGAGCAAACAGGAUUAGAUACCCUGGUAGUCCACGCUGUAAACGAUGGAUACUAGGUGUGGGGGGACUGACCCCCUCCGUGCCGCAGUUAACACAAUAAGUAUCCCACCUGGGGAGUACGAUCGCAAGGUUGAAACUCAAAGGAAUUGACGGGGGCCCGCACAAGCGGUGGAGUAUGUGGUUUAAUUCGAAGCAACGCGAAGAACCUUACCAGGGCUUGACAUCCCGGUGACCGCUCUAGAGAUAGAGUUUUCCCUUCGGGGACACUGGUGACAGGUGGUGCAUGGUUGUCGUCAGCUCGUGUCGUGAGAUGUUGGGUUAAGUCCCGCAACGAGCGCAACCCUUAUUGUUAGUUGCUACGCAAGAGCACUCUAGCGAGACUGCCGUUGACAAAACGGAGGAAGGUGGGGAGGACGUCAAAUCAUCAUGCCCCUUAUGUCCUGGGCCACACACGUACUACAAUGGUGGUCAACAGAGGGAAGCAAAACCGCGAGGUGGAGCAAAUCCCUAAAAGCCAUCCCAGUUCGGAUCGCAGGCUGCAACCCGCCUGCGUGAAGUUGGAAUCGCUAGUAAUCGCGGAUCAGCAUGCCGCGGUGAAUACGUUCCCGGGCCUUGCACACACCGCCCG